rnacentral:rRNA from 1 species
GACGAACGCUGGCGGCGUGCUUAACACAUGCAAGUCGAGCGAUGAAGCUUUCUUCGGAAAGUGGAUUAGCGGCGGACGGGUGAGUAACACGUGGGUAACCUGCCUCAUAGAGGGGAAUAGCCUUUCGAAAGGAAGAUUAAUACCGCAUAAGAUUGUAAUAUCGCAUGGUAUAGCAAUUAAAGGAGUAAUCCGCUAUGAGAUGGACCCGCGUCGCAUUAGCUAGUUGGUGAGGUAACGGCUCACCAAGGCGACGAUGCGUAGCCGACCUGAGAGGGUGAUCGGCCACAUUGGGACUGAGACACGGACCAGACUCCUACGGGAGGCAGCAGUGGGGAAUAUUGCACAAUGGGGGAAACCCUGAUGCAGCAACGCCGCGUGAGUGAUGACGGUCUUCGGAUUGUAAAGCUCUGUCUUUAGGGACGAUAAUGACGGUACCUAAGGAGGAAGCCACGGCUAACUACGUGCCAGCCGCCGCGGUAA